CGCGGCCUAAACAUGCAAGUCGGACGGUAGCACAGAGGAGCUUGCUCCUUGGGUGACGAGUGGCGGACGGGUGAGUAAUGUCUGGGGAUCUGCCCGAUAGAGGGGGAUAACCACUGGAAACGGUGGCUAAUACCGCAUAACGUCGCAAGACCAAAGAGGGGGACCUUCGGGCCUCUCACUAUCGGAUGAACCCAGAUGGGAUUAGCUAGUACGCGGGGUAAUGGCCCACCUACGCGACGAUCCCUAUCUGGUCUGAGAGGAUGACCAGCCACACUGGAACUGACACACGGUCCACACUCCUACGGGAGGCAGCAGUGGGGAAUAUUGCACAGUGGGCGCACGCCUGAUGCCCCCAUGCCGCGUGUAUGAAAAAGGCCUUCGGGUUGUAAAGUACUUUCAGCGGGGAGGAAGGCGACGGGGUUAAUAACUCUGUCGAUUGAUUUUCCCCGCAACAAGAAGCCCCGGCUAACU
rnacentral:rRNA from 1 species